GCACUUUUGAGGAGUCCCAUACUAGGACGAAACGGCCUUCCAGUAC
rfam:Schistosoma haematobium scaffold428_4, whole genome shotgun sequence.